UCAAUAAGCUUGGACAUUUUAUUAAAUAUAUAUCUGAAUAUACAAAACUGGUUCAUUUGCACUCAUUUCUGAAGAUAUUUUAAAUCUUGUAGUUAAAAAUCAGAUGUGCCAAUAAUUCUGACCAGGGCUGAGGAAGAAUCUUUCAAACAGGU